ACGGAAGGCAGCAGUGGGGAAUAUUGCACAAUGGGGGAAACCCUGAUGCAGCGACGCCGCGUGAAGGAAGAAGUAUCUCGGUAUGUAAACUUCUAUCAGCAGGGAAGAUAGUGACGGUACCUGACUAAGAAGCCCCGGCUAACUACGUGCCAGCAGCCGCGGUAAUACGUAGGGGGCAAGCGUUAUCCGGAUUUACUGGGUGUAAAGGGAGCGUAGACGGUGUGGCAAGUCUGAUGUGAAAGGCAUGGGCUCAGCCUGUGGACUGCAUUGGAAACUGUCAUACUUGAGUGCCGGAGGGGUAAGCGGAAUUCCUAGUGUAGCGGUGAAAUGCGUAGAUAUUAGGAGGAACACCAGUGGCGAAGGCGGCUUACUGGACGGUAACUGACGUUGAGGCUCGAAAGCGUGGGGAGCAAACAGGAUUAGAUACCCUGGUA
rnacentral:rRNA from 1 species